UGGGGAAUAUUGCACAAUGGAGGAAACUCUGAUGCAGCGACGCCGCGUGAGUGAUGAAGAUCUUCGGAUUGUAAAACUCUGUCCUUAGUGAAGAUAAUGACAGUAACUAAGAAGCAAGCCCUGGCUAAAUACGUGCCAGCAGCCGCGGUAAUACGUAUGGGGCAAGCGUUGUCCGGAAUUAUUGGGCGUAAAGGGUACGUAGGCGGUUUAAUAAGUCCUAAUUAAAAGGCUAUGGCUCAACCAUAGUAUGGUUAGGAAACUGUUGAACUUGAGUAGAUGAGGGGAAAGUGGAAUUCCAUGUGUAGCGGUGAAAUGCGUAGAUAUAUGGAGGAACACCAAUGGCGAAGGCAACUUUCUGGAAUCAAACUGACGCUGAGGUACGAAGGCGUGGGGAGCAAACAGG
rnacentral:rRNA from 1 species